AGAUGUGCUACACUUCGUGUCCUUGUACCAUCCACACUGGACCAGCAUUAGAUUUUGAAGAACAUUCUGAGGAAUGUGGAUCAAAAUCUAAGGAUUGAAAAGGACAGCAGCUUACAGGCAGCAAUGGAAACUGCAGAUUCUGAUGAUACAAAGUGUAUACACCUCCCACUCACGGGCCAUGGCUUCAGAGGCUUUUAAUCCAGGCCAUAUAUUCCAGAUAUUCCAUAUCCCAAAUGAACAGGAAGAAACCUUCAAGCUAACCAGCUUGGCUGCAUUGAAAAGAUACUUGGAUUUUCUACAGCACCUUUCAAUGAGCACAGGAUGUCCCAGAGCUCUCUACCUCUGGAAAAUGCGGUUACUGUUGUAAUGUAGAAAGUGUCCCAGCCAGCGUGCACACAGCAAGAUUCCACAAACAUCAACGUGAUGACGACCAGCAAAUUUGCUUUCUCAAGAUGUUGUUUGAGGAAUGAAUAUGGGCUAGAGAGAAUGCCCCUGUUCUUCUUCAAAGCAGUACCAAGGGACUUUAUGUCUACCCAAGAGAGCAGGCACCCUGAAUUUACAGUCAUAUCUGAUGCCUCCAACAGUGCAGAACUCCUUCAGUACCGCACAGGAAAUGUCAGCCUCGGUUGUUGCAGUCAAGUCCUAGAGUGGGAUUUGAACCCAUAGCCUUCUGACUCAGAGGUAAGAGUGCCACCGAUUGAAUCAUGCACAUCUAACAUUAUAGAGUCAGAGUACUGAUUGACGCUAUUUUCACAUAAAAGUUGCUCCAACUGGCUUUCUGCUUUGGGUUAAAGCCUGUUCUCAUAAACGUCCCUACUUGGAAAUUUUAACCCUUGAUUAUCGAAUGUCUCUUUCAGUACUAUUAGAUUUUUCUUCUCCCAGAAGGCUUAAAAAAUGCAGAAGGAUGCUUUUUUUUUCAAUGUACCAAUGUUACAAGCUAUGUAAUAGGAUGCUGCCUUGUGGGAGUGGGAGUUAGUUUGUGCAGCAAAUCCUGAUUUGAAAAUGGUUUCGGGUCAUGACCAACUGGACACAAAGCAGAUGUACAACAGGAAAGGGACAACAUACAGUCUGUUUUUGUAAAGACUUGCAUUUGAACAUUUUGUGAAACUACUUGGAGAUCUUCAAGCUCACUUUUGGUAAGUACACACUGGUAGUGAGAACCUUGCCUGCCGC